CGCGAUCGCCGGGGGAACCUUGCCUGGUGCAGAUGUGGAAAGUGUACGGCUGCACCAACCAACGAGGAAUGUGUGUGCUGCCGGGAGCUCACAGCUCCUGGAAUUGCAUCAAAGUUUCAACAGUUGGGCAAUGCAAGUUGUAUCACAGAGCACCCGACAUUCCUGGAUCGAUGCACCAGCAAGAAUGCCCUUGCACAAGCCGCGUCCCAGUUCAUCAAAAGAAAAGCAGGACGAGGAAGCCACGCGUGGUACAGGCACACGGCGUACCGACAAUUUGUCAGGUGGCUCUGGCAUCGGCUGGGAAGAAGAACACGCGUCGUCCUCCCAAGAUGUGUCGUAGAAAAGAUACGUCUCAUGUUUCCAUCAGAGGCAUAUACAGGCUUCAAACCAUAGAAACAUUUACUGGGAUGUUGUUAAUGUUCCUGUUUUCUCGUUUUCUCUACUCUGCUAAUGCAAGGAACGUAUUGCUUUGUAUUUAAUUUCAAACUACGUUGAUCUACCACUAUUGAGUUCCUAUAGGGGAAUCACUUACUUCGCGGAACUUUGUAUCGCGGAAAAAACAGUGCCCGCGUAAAUUACUACUGGUACGUCAU